UUAAGUCUAAUGUGAAAGCCUUCGGCUCAACCGAAGAAGUGCAUUGGAAACUGGGAGACUUGAGUGCAGAAGAGGACAGUGGAACUCCAUGUGUAGCGGUGAAAUGCGUAGAUAUAUGGAAGAACACCAGUGGCGAAGGCGGCUGUCUGGUCUGUAACUGACGCUGAGGCUCGAAAGCAUGGGUAGCGAACAGGAUUAGAUACCCUGGUAGUCCAUGCCGUAAACGAUGAUUACUAAGUGUUGGAGGGUUUCCGCCCUUCAGUGCUGCAGCUAACGCAUUAAGUAAUCCGCCUGGGGAGUACGACCGCAAGGUUGAAACUCAAAAGAAUUGACGGGGGCCCGCACAAGCGGUGGAGCAUGUGGUUUAAUUCGAAGCUACGCGAAGAACCUUACCAGGUCUUGACAUCUUCUGCCAACCUAAGAGAUUAGGCGUUCCCUUCGGGGACAGAAUGACAGGUGGUGCAUGGUUGUCGUCAGCUCGUGUCGUGAGAUGUUGGGUUAAGUCCCGCAACGAGCGCAACCCUUAUUACUAGUUGCCAGCAUUCAGUUGGGCACUCUAGUGAGACUGCCGGUGACAAACCGGAGGAAGGUGGGGACGACGUCAAAUCAUCAUGCCCCUUAUGACCUGGGCUACACACGUGCUACAAUGGAUGGUACAACGAGUUGCGAAACCGCGAGGUUUAGCUAAUCUCUUAAAACCAUUCUCAGUUCGGACUGUAGGCUGCAACUCGCCUACACGAAGUCGGAAUCGCUAGUAAUCGCGGAUCAGCAUGCCGCGGUGAAUACGUUCCCGGGCCUUGUACACACCGCCCGUCACACCAUGAGAGUUUGUAACACCCAAAGCCGGUGGGGUAACCU
rnacentral:rRNA from 1 species